CAAAAUAAGCUGAACAGCUCAGUUUUCUCGAAUUAAGAAGAGCUAUGGCCUUAUAAAUUUAAUUGUAGCAUAAAUUUUUCUCAUAAGGCUAUGGUAAUGAUAUGUUAAUCGUUUUUUAUGAUAUCUAGUUUCUUAAGAAAUAAAUUUAAUUUAGUUUUUUAAAUGUACAGUGCUUAUUUGUUAACUUUGUAUUUUAAGAAUUUAAUGUUUCUAGGGAUGAGCUUAGAAACAGAGGUUUAAAAUUGUUUUUUUGCUAUCGAAGGUUGGUAGGAUUGGAAAUGUCUAUCUUUAGUUUGUUAUAAUUAACUUUUGAUUGAAUAAGAUUUAUAUUUUGGUUUAGAUUUUUUAUUAAGAUUAUAAUUUGAAUAGUGUAUUUUAUGAAAUAAUGAUAGAAUUAGUAUAUAAUGGUGUAUUGUUAAGUGAAUUUUCAAGGUUGAAUUAAGGAACUCGGCAAAUAAAUUUUCCGCCUGUUUAUUAAAAACAUGUCUUUUUGAUCAUAAUUUAAAGUCUGACCUGCCCAAUGAGGUUUUGAAUGGCCGCGGUAAUUUGACCGUGCAAAGGUAGCAUAAUCAUUAGUUUUUUAAUUGAAAGCUGGUAUGAACGGUUGGACGAGAAAAUGACUGUCUCAAUUUAAUUGUAAGUAGAAUUUUAUUUAUAAGUAAAAAAGCUUAUAUGAGUUUAAAAGACGAGAAGACCCUAUAGAAUUUUAUAGUAAUAUAUUUGUGCUGUGAUUAGAAUUGUAAGUUGCUAAAAUGUAAAGCUAUUUUGUUGGGGCGAUAGAAAAAUUAAUGGAACUUUUUUUAUAUAAGGUCAUUGAUUUAUGUGUAGUUGAUCCGUUUUUUACGAUUAUAAGAUAAAAUUACCUUAGGGAUAACAGCGUAAUUUUUUUUUAGAGUUCUUAUCGAAAAAAGAGUUUGCGACCUCGAUGUUGGAUUAAAAUUAACUUUUGGUGCAGGGGCUAAAAGGCUAGGUCUGUUCGA
rnacentral:rRNA from 1 species